UACGUAGGGUGCAGGCGUUAAUCGGAAUUACUGGGCGUAAAGCGUGCGCAGGCGGCUCCUUAAGUCAGAUGUGAAAUCCCCGGGCUUAACCUGGGAACUGCGUUUGAAACUGGGGAGCUCGAGUGUGGAAGAGGGGGGUGGAAUUCCAGGUGUAGCAGUGAAAUGCGUAGAGAUCUGGAGGAACACCAGUGGCGAAGGCGGCCUUCUGGACCAAUACUGACGCUCAUGCACGAAAGCGUGGGGAGCAAACAGG
rnacentral:rRNA from 1 species